rnacentral:rRNA from 1 species
AUUGAACGCUGGCGGCAUGCCUUACACAUGCAAGUCGAACGGUAACAGGUCUUCGGAUGCUGACGAGUGGCGAACGGGUGAGUAAUACAUCGGAACGUGCCUAGUAGUGGGGGAUAACUACUCGAAAGAGUGGCUAAUACCGCAUGAGAUCUACGGAUGAAAGCAGGGGAUCGCAAGACCUUGUGCUACUAGAGCGGCCGAUGGCAGAUUAGGUAGUUGGUGGGAUAAAAGCUUACCAAGACGACGAUCUGUAGCUGGUCUGAGAGGACGAUCAGCCACGCUGGGACUGAGAAACGGCCCAGCCUCCUACGGGAGGCAGCAGUGGGGAAUUUUGGACAAUGGGCGCAAGCCUGAUCCAGCAAUGCCGCGUGCAGGAUGAAGGCCUUCGGGUUGUAAACUGCUUUUGUACGGAACGAAAAGCCCCGGGUUAAUACCCUGGGGUCAUGACGGUACCGUAAGAAUAAGCACCGGCUAACUACGUGCCAGCCGCCGCGGUAA